UUGUCGAUUUUGCAAUAAAUAUGCAUCAUUCUUCGGUAUUUCGUGUCUUUUUUAACGUAUUACUAAAUUUGAAACGGGAAUAUUGACGUGUUUUGUCAUAGUUAAGCCGCCUAAGAGAGAAAUCAGCAAUCCAAAAAAACGCGAUGAUAAGGGUAACUGAUAAAAAUUUAUUGACGUUGAUAUGCGUAACUGGAAAUAUUGAUAUCCGUAACUGAUUAUUUUCUAAACAAUUAUCAUUCUCGUUUGAAAUUAAAUAAUAGUCUGUCGUUAUCGCGAUCGGUAUCAGAAAUGUUUCCAAAGUCUUUACAAACAUUGUGAGAAAAUAUAUUGACCAUGUGACCAAUUCUGUAUUUUUAUAUAGCCAACAGCAUGCCUAGUGAGUUUGAAGAUGGAUCUUUGGUUGUGAACAAAGUACUGCAGCUGUCGAUGGGUCCAUCCUGGUUUUGACAACACCACAGGCAAAAAGCACACCUAACUUGAUAGAUUCGUCAGCUAAAUAUGUGUGUGACAUCUGUGGUAAACAUUACCGGUCCAAACAGGGGAUGUUGGACCAUAUGAAGAGAGAGCAUGGGACACCAAAUUUCACCUGCACCCAGUGCCAAAAAAAAUUUAUAUCCCGCACUUUGU